CAACUACUCCCUCCGUCCCAAAAUAAGUGACUCAAAAAUGACUCUACUUUGUACUAAAUUAGUACAAAGUAGAGUCAUUUUUGAGUCACUUAUUUUGGGACGGAGGGAGUACAUG
rnacentral:pre_miRNA from 1 species